rnacentral:rRNA from 1 species
UACGUAGGGGGCAAGCGUUAUCCGGAUUUAUUGGGCGUAAAGCGCGCGCAGGCGGUUCAUUAAGUUAGGUGUUCAAGGCAACGGCUCAACCGUUGUACGCACCUAAAACUGGUGGGCUUGAGUGCAGAAGAGGAGAGUGGAAUUCCUGGUGUAGCGGUGGAAUGCGUAGAUAUCAGGAGGAACACCAGUGGCGAAGGCGACUCUCUGGUCUGUAACUGACGCUGAGGCGCGAAAGCGUGGGGAGCAAACAGG